rnacentral:rRNA from 1 species
AUUGCCUUAGUAGCGGCGAGUGAAGCGGCAAAAGCUCAAAUUUGAAAUCUGGCACCUUCGGUGUCCGAGUUGUAAUUUGAAGAUUGUAACCUUGGGGUUGGCUCUUGUCUAUGUUUCUUGGAACAGGACGUCACAGAGGGUGAGAAUCCCGUGCGAUGAGAUGCCCAAUCCUAUGUAAGGUGCUUUCGAAGAGUCGAGUUGUUUGGGAAUGCAGCUCUAAGUGGGUGGUAAAUUCCAUCUAAAGCUAAAUAUUGGCGAGAGACCGAUAGCGAACAAGUACAGUGAUGGAAAGAUGAAAAGAACUUUGAAAAGAGAGUGAAAAAGUACGUGAAAUUGUUGAAAGGGAAGGGUUUGAGAUCAGACUCGAUAUUUUGUGAGCCUUGCCUUCGUGGCGGGGUGACCCGCAGCUUAUCGGGCCAGCAUCGGUUUGGGCGGUAGGAUAAUGGCGUAGGAAUGUGACUUUGCUUCGGUGAAGUGUUAUAGCCUGCGUUGAUGCUGCCUGCCUAGACCGAGGACUGCGAUUUUAUCAAGGAUGCUGGCAUAAUGAUCCCAAACCGCCCGUCUUGAA